UACGUAGGGGGCUAGCGUUGUCCGGAAUCAUUGGGCGUAAAGCGCGUGUAGGCGGUUCGGUAAGUCCGCUGUGAAAGUCGGGGGCUCAACCCUCGAAUGCCGGUGGAUACUGUCGGACUAGAGUACGGAAGAGGCGAGUGGAAUUCCUGGUGUAGCGGUGAAAAUGCGCAGAUAUCAGGAGGAGCACCAAUUGCGAAGGCAGCUCGCUGGGACGUUACUGACGCUGAGACGCGAAAGCGUGGGGAGCAAACAGG
rnacentral:rRNA from 1 species